rnacentral:tRNA from 1 species
GCGGAGAUGGCGGAACUGGCAGACGCGCCGGACUUAGGAUCCGGUGCCGCAAGGCGUGGGGGUUCAAAUCCCCCUCCCCGCACCA